rnacentral:rRNA from 1 species
GUCGAACGGCAGCAUGAUCUAGCUUGCUAGAUUGAUGGCGAGUGGCGAACGGGUGAGUAAUACAUCGGAACGUGCCCUGUAGUGGGGGAUAACUAGUCGAAAGAUUAGCUAAUACCGCAUACGACCUGAGGGUGAAAGUGGGGGACCGCAAGGCCUCAUGCUAUAGGAGCGGCCGAUGUCUGAUUAGCUAGUUGGUGGGGUAAAGGCCCACCAAGGCGACGAUCAGUAGCUGGUCUGAGAGGACGAUCAGCCACACUGGGACUGAGACACGGCCCAGACUCCUACGGGAGGCAGCAGUGGGGAAUUUUGGACAAUGGGCGAAAGCCUGAUCCAGCAAUGCCGCGUGUGUGAAGAAGGCCUUCGGGUUGUAAAGCACUUUUGUCCGGAAAGAAAUGGCUCUGGUUAAUACCUGGGGUCGAUGACGGUACCGGAAGAAUAAGGACCGGCUAACUACGUGCCAGCAGCCGCGGUAAUACGUAGGGUCCAAGCGUUAAUCGGAAUUACUGGGCGUAAAGCGUGCGCAGGCGGUUGUGCAAGACCGAUGUGAAAUCCCCGAGCUUAACUUGGGAAUUGCAUUGGUGACUGCACGGCUAGAGUGUGUCAGAGGGGGGUAGAAUUCCACGUGUAGCAGUGAAAUGCGUAGAGAUGUGGAGGAAUACCGAUGGCGAAGGCAGCCCCCUGGGAUAACACUGACGCUCAUGCACGAAAGCGUGGGGAGCAAACAGGAUUAGAUACCCUGGUAGUCCACGCCCUAAACGAUGUCAACUAGUUGUUGGGGAUUCAUUUCCUUAGUAACGUAGCUAACGCGUGAAGUUGACCGCCUGGGGAGUACGGUCGCAAGAUUAAAACUCAAAGGAAUUGACGGGGACCCGCACAAGCGGUGGAUGAUGUGGAUUAAUUCGAUGCAACGCGAAAAACCUUACCUACCCUUGACAUGCCACUAACGAAGCAGAGAUGCAUUAGGUGCUCGAAAGAGAAAGUGGACACAGGUGCUGCAUGGCUGUCGUCAGCUCGUGUCGUGAGAUGUUGGGUUAAGUCCCGCAACGAGCGCAACCCUUGUCUCUAGUUGCUACGAAAGGGCACUCUAGAGAGACUGCCGGUGACAAACCGGAGGAAGGUGGGGAUGACGUCAAGUCCUCAUGGCCCUUAUGGGUAGGGCUUCACACGUCAUACAAUGGUGCAUACAGAGGGUUGCCAAGCCGCGAGGUGGAGCUAAUCCCAGAAAAUGCAUCGUAGUCCGGAUCGUAGUCUGCAACUCGACUACGUGAAGCUGGAAUCGCUAGUAAUCGCGGAUCAGCAUGCCGCGGUGAUACGUUCCCGGGUCUUGUACACACCGCCCGUCACACCAUGGGAGUGGGCUUUACCAGAAGU